rnacentral:rRNA from 2 species
AGCGUACACGGUGGAUGCCCUGGCAGUCAGAGGCGAUGAAGGACGUGCUAAUCUGCGAUAAGCGUCGGUAAGGUGAUAUGAACCGUUAUAACCGGCGAUUUCCGAAUGGGGAAACCCAGUGUGUUUCGACACACUAUCAUUAACUGAAUCCAUAGGUUAAUGAGGCGAACCGGGGGAACUGAAACAUCUAAGUACCCCGAGGAAAAGAAAUCAACCGAGAUUCCCCCAGUAGCGGCGAGCGAACGGGGAGCAGCCCAGAGCCUGAAUCAGUGUGUGUGUUAGUGGAAGCGUCUGGAAAGGCGCGCGAUACAGGGUGACAGCCCCGUACACAAAAAUGCACAUGCUGUGAGCUCGAUGAGUAGGGCGGGACACGUGGUAUCCUGUCUGAAUAUGGGGGGACCAUCCUCCAAGGCUAAAUACUCCUGACUGACCGAUAGUGAACCAGUACCGUGAGGGAAAGGCGAAAAGAACCCCGGCGAGGGGAGUGAAAAAGAACCUGAAACCGUGUACGUACAAGCAGUGGGAGCACGCUUAGGCGUGUGACUGCGUACCUUUUGUAUAAUGGGUCAGCGACUUAUAUUCUGUAGCAAGGUUAACCGAAUAGGGGAGCCGAAGGGAAACCGAGUCUUAACUGGGCGUUAAGUUGCAGGGUAUAGACCCGAAACCCGGUGAUCUAGCCAUGGGCAGGUUGAAGGUUGGGUAACACUAACUGGAGGACCGAACCGACUAAUGUUGAAAAAUUAGCGGAUGACUUGUGGCUGGGGGUGAAAGGCCAAUCAAACCGGGAGAUAGCUGGUUCUCCCCGAAAGCUAUUUAGGUAGCGCCUCGUGAAUUCAUCUCCGGGGGUAGAGCACUGUUUCGGCAAGGGGGUCAUCCCGACUUACCAACCCGAUGCAAACUGCGAAUACCGGAGAAUGUUAUCACGGGAGACACACGGCGGGUGCUAACGUCCGUCGUGAAGAGGGAAACAACCCAGACCGCCAGCUAAGGUCCCAAAGUCAUGGUUAAGUGGGAAACGAUGUGGGAAGGCCCAGACAGCCAGGAUGUUGGCUUAGAAGCAGCCAUCAUUUAAAGAAAGCGUAAUAGCUCACUGGUCGAGUCGGCCUGCGCGGAAGAUGUAACGGGGCUAAACCAUGCACCGAAGCUGCGGCAGCGACGCUUAUGCGUUGUUGGGUAGGGGAGCGUUCUGUAAGCCUGCGAAGGUGUGCUGUGAGGCAUGCUGGAGGUAUCAGAAGUGCGAAUGCUGACAUAAGUAACGAUAAAGCGGGUGAAAAGCCCGCUCGCCGGAAGACCAAGGGUUCCUGUCCAACGUUAAUCGGGGCAGGGUGAGUCGACCCCUAAGGCGAGGCCGAAAGGCGUAGUCGAUGGGAAACAGGUUAAUAUUCCUGUACUUGGUGUUACUGCGAAGGGGGGACGGAGAAGGCUAUGUUGGCCGGGCGACGGUUGUCCCGGUUUAAGCGUGUAGGCUGGUUUUCCAGGCAAAUCCGGAAAAUCAAGGCUGAGGCGUGAUGACGAGGCACUACGGUGCUGAAGCAACAAAUGCCCUGCUUCCAGGAAAAGCCUCUAAGCAUCAGGUAACAUCAAAUCGUACCCCAAACCGACACAGGUGGUCAGGUAGAGAAUACCAAGGCGCUUGAGAGAACUCGGGUGAAGGAACUAGGCAAAAUGGUGCCGUAACUUCGGGAGAAGGCACGCUGAUAUGUAGGUGAAGUCCCUCGCGGAUGGAGCUGAAAUCAGUCGAAGAUACCAGCUGGCUGCAACUGUUUAUUAAAAACACAGCACUGUGCAAACACGAAAGUGGACGUAUACGGUGUGACGCCUGCCCGGUGCCGGAAGGUUAAUUGAUGGGGUUAGCCGCAAGGCGAAGCUCUUGAUCGAAGCCCCGGUAAACGGCGGCCGUAACUAUAACGGUCCUAAGGUAGCGAAAUUCCUUGUCGGGUAAGUUCCGACCUGCACGAAUGGCGUAAUGAUGGCCAGGCUGUCUCCACCCGAGACUCAGUGAAAUUGAACUCGCUGUGAAGAUGCAGUGUACCCGCGGCAAGACGGAAAGACCCCGUGAACCUUUACUAUAGCUUGACACUGAACAUUGAGCCUUGAUGUGUAGGAUAGGUGGGAGGCUUUGAAGUGUGGACGCCAGUCUGCAUGGAGCCGACCUUGAAAUACCACCCUUUAAUGUUUGAUGUUCUAACGUUGACCCGUAAUCCGGGUUGCGGACAGUGUCUGGUGGGUAGUUUGACUGGGGCGGUCUCCUCCUAAAGAGUAACGGAGGAGCACGAAGGUUGGCUAAUCCUGGUCGGACAUCAGGAGGUUAGUGCAAUGGCAUAAGCCAGCUUGACUGCGAGCGUGACGGCGCGAGCAGGUGCGAAAGCAGGUCAUAGUGAUCCGGUGGUUCUGAAUGGAAGGGCCAUCGCUCAACGGAUAAAAGGUACUCCGGGGAUAACAGGCUGAUACCGCCCAAGAGUUCAUAUCGACGGCGGUGUUUGGCACCUCGAUGUCGGCUCAUCACAUCCUGGGGCUGAAGUAGGUCCCAAGGGUAUGGCUGUUCGCCAUUUAAAGUGGUACGCGAGCUGGGUUUAGAACGUCGUGAGACAGUUCGGUCCCUAUCUGCCGUGGGCGCUGGAGAACUGAGGGGGGCUGCUCCUAGUACGAGAGGACCGGAGUGGACGCAUCACUGGUGUUCGGGUUGUCAUGCCAAUGGCACUGCCCGGUAGCUAAAUGCGGAAGAGAUAAGUGCUGAAAGCAUCUAAGCACGAAACUUGCCCCGAGAUGAGUUCU